rnacentral:rRNA from 1 species
UUAUCCGGAUUUAUUGGGUUUAAAGGGAGCGUAGGCGGGUGCUUAAGUCAGUUGUGAAAGUUUGCGGCUCAACCGUAAAAUUGCAGUUGAUACUGGGCGCCUUGAGUGCAGCAUAGGUAGGCGGAAUUCGUGGUGUAGCGGUGAAAUGCUUAGAUAUCACGAAGAACUCCGAUUGCGAAGGCAGCUUACUGGACUGUAACUGACGCUGAUGCUCGAAAGUGUGGGUAUCAAACAGGAUUAGAUACCCUGGUAGUCCACACAGUAAACGAUGAAUACUCGCUGUUGGCGAUACUCAGUCAGCGGCCAAGCGAAAGCAUUAAGUAUUCCACCUGGGGAGUACGCCGGCAACGGUGAAACUCAA